UACGUAGGGUGCAAGCGUUGUCCGGAAUUAUUGGGCGUAAAGAGCUCGUAGGCGGUCAGUCGCGUCUGCUGUGAAAACUCGGGGCUUAACUCCGGGCCUGCAGUGGGUACGGGCUGACUAGAGUGCGGUAGGGGAGACUGGAAUUCCUGGUGUAGCGGUGAAAUGCGCAGAUAUCAGGAGGAACACCGGUGGCGAAGGCGGCUCACUGGGGGUUUUCUGACGCUGAGGAACGAAAGCCAGGGUAGCGAACGGG
rnacentral:rRNA from 1 species